GAACGAAAGUCAGAGGAUCGAAGGCGAUUAGAUACCGCCCUAGUUGAGACCGUAAAUUAUGCCAACUAGUGAUCAGGUUGCGCCCUUUCAGGCCUGUCCGGGAGGUGAGAGAGUACGAAAGUAAUGAAGAGACGGC
rnacentral:ncRNA from 1 species